AUUGAACGCUGGCGGCGUGCCUAACACAUGCAAGUCGAGCGGUAACAGGUGUAGCAAUACAUGCUGACGAGCGGCGAACGGGUGAGUAAUGCUUCGGAAUCUGCCCAUGUAGUGGGGAAUAACCAGCCGAAAGGUUGGCUAAUACCGCAUACGACCUACGGGUGAAAGCAGGGGAUCGCAAGACCUUGCGCUAUUGGAUGAGCCGAAGUCGGAUUAGCAGUUGGUAGGGUAACGGCCUACCAAGGCGACAAUCCGUAGCUGGUCUGAGAGGACGACCAGCCACACUGGGACUGAGACACGGCCCAGACUCCUACGGGAGGCAGCAGUGGGGAAUAUUGGACAAUGGGGGCAACCCUGAUCCAGCGACGCCGCGUGUGUGAAGAAGGCCUGCGGGUUGUAAAGC
rnacentral:rRNA from 1 species